rnacentral:rRNA from 1 species
GACGAACGCUAGCGGCGUGCUUAACACAUGCAAGUCGAACGAAAAGGGACUGCAUUUUUGGUGUACUAAAGUUACGAACGAAUGAGUAACAAAUGAGUAACCUACCCGUGACUUUGGGAUGAAUUCAAGAAACUAGGGAUAAUAACGAAUGGAAACUCCUGAUGCAUGGUGUGGGUUGGAGAGUUUCGGCGGUUGGGGAUGGACUCGCGGCUUAUAAGGUGGGUGGUGGGGUAGUGGCUUACCAAGGCUGUGACGGGUAGCCGGACUGAGAGGGUGACCGGCCCCAGUGGGAUAGAGAUACGGCCCAGACUGCUACUGGAGGCAGCAGUGGGGGACAUUCCACAAUGGGCGGCAGCCUGAUGCAGCAACGCCGCGUUCUGGAUGACGGCCUUCGGGUUGUAAACGCCUUUCGGCUGUGACGAAGCGUGAUUGACGGUAAUGGGUAAAGAAGCACCGGCUAACUACGUG